GCCAUGGCCUCGGGAUUGGGGCCGGCCCCUUGGUAUGGGGAAGAGCAGGGUUCGAGUCCCUGCCAUGGCUCCA
rnacentral:tRNA from 1 species